rnacentral:rRNA from 1 species
UACGGGGGGGGCAAGCGUUGUUCGGAAUUACUGGGCGUAAAGGGCGCGUAGGCGGCCUUCUAAGUCGGACGUGAAAUCCCUCGGCUUAACCGGGGAACUGCGUCCGAUACUGGAGGGCUUGGAUCCGGGAGAGGGAUGCGGAAUUCCAGGUGUAGCGGUGAAAUGCGUAGAUAUCUGGAGGAACACCGGUGGCGAAGGCGGCAUCCUGGACCGGUAUCGACGCUGAGGCGCGAAAGCCAGGGGAGCAAACGGG